rnacentral:miRNA from 1 species
UGGCCUUGCGGGGAUUACUCAGCAA